CAGUGUUUUUCCUGGGGAUCUUGUUAAAAUGCAGAUUUGGAUUCAGUAGUUCUUCUGAUCUACCAACACUUCUGAGAUUCUGCAUUUCUGAGAAGGUCCCAGGGAACGAACGU
rnacentral:pre_miRNA from 1 species